GGGGCUGUAGCUCAGUUGGGAGAGCGCAUCGUUCGCAAUGAUGAGGUCGGGGGUUCGAAUCCCCCCAGCUCCACCA
rnacentral:tRNA from 1 species